rnacentral:rRNA from 1 species
GUAGUCAUAUGCUUGUCUCAAAGAUUAAGCCAUGCAUGUCUAAGUAUAAGCAACUAUACGGUGAAACUGCGAAUGGCUCAUUAAAUCAGUUAUCGUUUAUUUGAUAGUACCUUACUACUUGGAUAACCGUGGUAAUUCUAGAGCUAAUACAUGCUAAAAACCCCGACUUCGGAAGGGGUGUAUUUAUUAGAUAAAAAACCAAUGCUCUUCGGGGCUCCUUGGUGAUUCAUAAUAACUAAACGAAUCGCAUGGCCUUGCGCCGGCGAUGGUUCAUUCAAAUUUCUGCCCUAUCAACUUUCGAUGGUAGGAUAGUGGCCUACCAUGGUACCAACGGGUAACGGGGAAUGA